AAGUCGUAACAAGGUAACCGUAGGUGAACCUGCGGUUGGAUCAUUAACAAAUUUUAAAGAACAUUUGAAAAAGCUUCGUGCCUUUCAAUGCUCCUAACAUUAUGUGAACUUAUUAUUGAAUCUUGGUAAUGACUUUAUGAAAGAACACGUUGAUUGACCAAACCUGGAUACCAAACCUGGAGACCAACCUGGAUGCCACCUCGGUGGAGAGACCAACCUGGAUACCAAACCUGGAGACCAAACCUGGAUUGAUCGCGGUUGUUGCACAAAGCUUACCAAAAUUAAACUUUAUAAAUAUUAAAACUUUGUCUUGAAUUAAAUUAUAUUCUAAUUUAAACAACUUUUGACAACGGAUCUCUAGGCUCUC
rnacentral:misc_RNA from 1 species